UCUGGUAAGGAGAGCGUUUGCCUCAUGGUUGCCAAGUCAUUCUCAUCUAACAUGUCAGACUAAUGUGAUCUCUCUGCCAAGUAAAUUUUGCUGGUUUUUUUACCCUAAUUUAAUUCUUAUUUUUGUGCUUCUGAGAGCACAGAGGGCUUGACUUUUCCAUCUUGCUAAGAAGGAUGGCUGAUCUUAUCUCUGCCUACCUAAAGAAACUAAUAAAACUUGCCUUGAAAUGCCAGUUUAAAGUAGAUCUAUUCAAGUAGUUUGCAGUUGUCAGUGAUUUGAAAAUCCACCAUCAUUCACUGGUUUACUGGAACAAAUCCAGUAGCUGAAGCAAAUGGGCACAGCUUCACUGGUGAUCUCUUGUGUGUGCCGAAAUCACACAAGUCAAAUGAAGAUAGUGUGAACAAGAAGAGACAAUUCUAUAUCAGAUUUAUUACACAAGGUGACUAAUUGAGACCGACAACUUAGGGGAGAUGCAGGUGGAAAUACCUUUGCACAGUAAAACUUUAUGCAAACUUUUUCUUUUGUUUUGCCAAAUGAAACAUGAAGAAAUUAUUGAGGUUUUUAUGACAAGUUUCCUAGCUCUCAACAUCACAGACCUACAAGAUCCAAAGUAUCUCAGUGAACUUCUGAAUUUGAGUCCUGAACACUGUGAGGUUCUGCCUCCCUAAUAAUCCUGCAUGAGUCUUUUCCACCCAGUGCUAUGGAUACCACUUAUAUUGAAUCAUGUGCAUUAAAUUAGACUUUGUAAAUUUGGAAUAUGAUAAAAAUACCCACUUCGCAAUUAAAGGUCAGUUUUUAGCAGCAGAAAAAUUCAGUGUGAUUGAUGAAUGACAGCAAGAGAGUGUUUCUCCUUUAAGGUCGGGUAAUUACCAAGUAUUUUUAUUCUCUGCUCUUCAGUGUGUCAAGUAGCAGUACAAAACAGGCUUUCUUUGGACAUCACUGUGUUCUGAGAAUUAUGGUGAGGCAAAAAUCCAUCAGUAAACACUGAGCUCAUGCAGCUAUGCUAGGUGCAGAGAGGUCCAGUGGGCUGGAGGAAUCUUCUAGGUACAGAUCAAUCCAGUGAUCAACAGAUGGGGUUUAGGUUCUGGUGUGUACAAAUGUUAGCACAAGUGUGUGAAGCAGUGGACUGCCUGGUGUAUCUGCCAGGUCUCACAGCCAGUGAACAUCUUCUCCAUGCUCAGACUGGAGAAGAAUCUGCUUAACACAUGCUUGGGGCAUUUGGAGUGGUCUAGGAAAAUGGCACAGCUCUCCUUUACAUGGCAGGGUUCCAGCACAGGGUCUGAAUGAUUUGUGCUGUCCUACUGUCUUCUGCUUAUCCCCAGAAAAUGGACAUUGCCUGGAAUUUUGAAAGCUCUUAAAAUGAGCAUUGGCUAGAAUUUUGAAAGCACUUAUGCAGUUGAAUAUGCAAUUUCAUUUUUCUGCUCUUACAGAUGCUAAGGGGUGGUUUUCUCCCUCAUCUGAGGACUAAUAACUUCCAUUUCUCUUCAAACAAGAUCUGAGGUCCUCAUGUCAUCACCAGGUUCUGCAAAGACUUGAAGAAGCAAACAGAACAUUUCCAGUUUGCAUCCUUUCUUGCAGAAUUUCAAAUCUUAAUUCUUCUUACCCUUGUUUUCACUCUACACUCUCUUACAUAAGAUGUUUUCAGUCAAUCCAGCUUUCAUAUACAUAAUGGCACAAGAUUCUGUUGGUAUAAAUGUCAAGAAUUUUGGAUCUAUUCUUUCCACAGGAGGUUUAUUUUGCAUCAUGCAUCAUUUGUUGAUUUGUCUCUUAUAUCAGAAAGAAAUAAGCUCUGUAAAAUGUUCGGUCUUUACUAAUGGAGAAAGAAUCCAUUCUUCAGAAAGUCCUUGUUCUUCUUAGGAGGUCUUUUGUAACUUCCAGUUAGUAAUUUUGGUUUAGGGACAAAGCUCUCUUAUUGGAGUGGAAUAAAGUUACAGUGACUCAUCGUAGUACUGCUAACUUUGAUUCCUUAAAUGUUUUAACUCUGGCUUCUGCAGCAGUACAAAAGUGGGAAGGCAGAUGGAGCUCCUGCACACCAAGUGCCAGCAUGCCAGUAUUUAACGUUUAGACAGCAUCCACCUUUGGCUCAAGUCUUUUUAUUUUCAGUUUAUUCAUUAUUGUAUUUGUUAAAUUCAAACUGACUCAUUUUUCAAUGGCACAGUAAUGCUAAUGAAAAACCUAAUUUCAAAGGAAGUUAUUUGCACUGCCUGGAAUGGUUCAAAUCAGCAUCGCUCAAAAUGGAAGCUUUUAAAACAGUUUAUUGCUAAUUUGGGCUGAACUAAUUUUUGAGGGAAAUUUCCUGGUAAUCACAUUGAUUAUGUUGUGUAAUAGACUCUGUAAGAAGUAAUGGAAAGCACUGGUCAUUUGGACAGGCUGCAUUUUGAAUGGAACAACCCUAAUACAGAAUACGCAAGCAGUGGAUUUUGUCCCUGAUCAUGCAGUUUCUGCUCAUUCUAAAUUCCCACUAAUCUAAUUAAUCUCAAUUGGAAAAAGAACAAUGCCUCACUGACUGCCCCAGAAACCAAAUUCCUCUGUUAAUGUGUUAAGCAAAUAUAACAAUAGGCAGAAUCAACAUUUCUGCCUCUGCUCCAUUGGGAAAUCUCAAUGUGGGAUCACUGCAAAGGUACCAAACCAGCCAGCCCUUCAUGGCAUUCCAGUUGUUAGUCCUUUAAAGACUCUGAAAGGAGCAUGAGGCUGAUGCGGAGGUAUUUUGUGUUACCUCUUGCUGACAAGAUAAUCACGGCUUUCAAAUUUAUUUCAAUUAACCAAAUAUUAUUUUCUAACUUUGCCAUGUUGCUGUAUGUCACAAAUGCAUUAAUGAAUAAAAUUUUGUUUAUUGUUUGUAAUUCACUUUAUGAAACUCUUUAAACUUGACUGAUUUGGUUAAAGUGACUUAAAAUAUCUCCAGUUUUGCUUCAUUCAAACCAAUAAAGCAGUAAAACUUAAAUAGCAAAUUUAGACAGCACAUGGACACUUAUUAAUUUCAAGCAACAAUUAGCAUGAAAUGUUCUUUGGUCUAUUUUUAUGUGUCCUCAAUAAUAUUUUUUACUACCGCCCUCAGCUGCCAUCAAAGCUCUGUGGUGGUGAUUUCUCCAUCCUUCUGCCUGCCCCAGGUUUCCUUCCUUUUCAUCUUCACUGCAUUUCCCUUCAGUCCAGCUGACAGAUCUGCUGAGUUCACACAGUAACUGUCAAAAGAUUCCUGAGUAUUUCUAAUGAUUCAUUAGGUCUAAUUUGACCAAAAGUUGUUAUUAAUUCAACUGAAAUCAGUAGUUUUAACAGUAAGCAUUAAUUAUUCUGAAGUUGUUCCUUCUUCCAGAUACCAAACCUACUCCAAUUCUUUUAUCUGUAUGUAUUGCUGCCUAAUGUUAUUUUCUUUUUUCUCUUAGCCAUUUAUUCUUCUGAGAAGUCUCAUGAUCUGGUGUUGAAACAAAUUCAUAUCAUGUAGAGAGACUCCAUAUCAUCAGCAAAGCUCCACUGUUCCCAUAAAUUUACUUUAAAACUUUGAUAAAAUAUUAAAUCCCUAUACUCUCACCCACACAAUUUCAUAAUUUUAGCACAUAUAGGCUUGAAAUGAAAGUAUUUUAGUGACAAUAUACACACAUGAAAUAACAUUUUUAUCUAUUUAAGAGAUGUUUGUAUUUCUUAUGGAAAAGUUUCAAGUGCGGUGCCAAAUGUCUUGGUUGUGUAAGGUGACCGGUUUUGUAAUUUUAUUCUGCCAUUCAUUUCAGAAGGGUGUUAACUCUGUGACCUGUUACAUUAUGAUAGAAGUGAGGCAGGUGGUAAGCUAUUUUUCAUUCCAAGGGAAUAUAAAUAGUGAAGGGGGGCAGCAUGGUGUAUACACAACUCUUUGAUUUAUGCAAGCAUAUUGUGGAACUUGUUUGAGGGAAGUCAGAUAUAGAAAUCUUCUGUUCCUGAGACCAGUGGGAGAUUUGCUUUUAGAGACCUUGCUGGGUUUCUCCUUUUCAUGUCAACCAUCCAUCUGGCUACAGUUGGGAUCUGACCUUUCUUUUUACUGAACACUCUAGGAAUAGCUUAAAUAUACACCAGGAUGUUCCACGUGUUGGGGAGACACUCAAGAGGCUGUUUCCUGUCAAAAACAAAAUUUAUAGUUUUGAAGAGCAAACCAGAAAAGCCAAAGAUCUUUCUUUUCUUGUUAAUGCUCUGUGUUUCCUCUCAGAAGUCUUUCAUGGGAAUUCAGGAGCACUUUGUACUGAGAGCUCCGAGUCAGGCAAACACAGUCCAGGUACGCUCGGCUGGGGAGCCCUUGGGUAGUGGUCAAGGUCUUGCAGCACCAACUGCUGCCUGUGGGUAUUUUUUUCCAAGUCCACACCUCCUUCCUGCCUUUGUCACAUUUGUACCACAACACUGAUAAAGAUCUUUCCACAUUAUAAAGUCAUGGCACAACAUUUGUUACCAACUCCCUCUUUCCUCGGUGUAAGGAGUGCUUGGAACAAAAUACCUUUGUGUCUGGCAGCAGCUCUGCUCCCAGGGAGCUGUUCCAGGCCAUACAUCUGUAGCAGGGUAACAUCUUCUGUCUGACCAAAGGAGAUAAUUCAGCCUUGUUCAAAAGUAAAAAUGAACACUCAGAGUCAUUUCUGCUGAAACUAUUUCACUGAAACUAUUUUUUCAUUUUUCACUAAAGGCAUAGGCAAAAGAGCCAUGUGCCUUGUAAACUCUUCCAGAGAUUAAUGCCCUGUAAUUUUGGGCCAGUGAAAUAAUUGGGUCUGUUAAACCCUUUUUGUGCUUUUAGCACUGAAAUCAUGGUCAAUGAACUCAAGCUUCUCAAAUACACAUUAUAUACUUAAAACAGCUCUCCUCUAUGAGUGAUGGCACCUUCAUAAGACUAAGCCAGAGACUCACAUUGCUACAAAUUACAGAUAGCUCCACCAAUACAGCUACAACUUCAGGACAAUCUGUAAAUUAAUGUUUCUUUCAUAAAAUAGAAGCCAGCCAACCAGCCACAUAAAAACACAAAAUUUGCCUGCUGAGAAAUAAAUCCCUGUGAGCAUUCCAGUGCUGUACUCUGGUCCCAUGCUGGGUAGGACUAUGGAUAGAUACGCUGCUAUCAGGAAAUCAAUUUUAUUUAGAUGUUUGAAACCAAACAUCUAAAACCAAAGGAGAAAUUUAUACCAGAGCUCUUUUGUGUGGUUUGUAUUUUUGAAAAAAAUGGGCAUUUUCUGUGUCUAUCCAGUUCUUAGAGGUGGCUAAUCUGUAAUGUGACUCCUGACAAAUGGAUCAAUCUGGAUUUGGAAAACCAUGUGGGGAUAAGUGCACCAUGAUUUGGCCUCUAUGUUUUAAAAAAAUCAGUCUAAAUACUCUUGAUAUACUCCUAAAUAAGUGGAGAGAGAGAAAACUGAUAUUAGGAAAUGGAGAAGCCCACUUCCCUGGCAGAUUUAUGUGGUAGAGUAUGCCAGCCUUUAACAGCAUAUGUCAACUUUGUAGAGGUUGAUGACAAGGUAUGUUCUAUUCUGCUGAUGAGAGGGCUCAGCUCUCAGUGACUUUGGCCAUUCCUGAUGCAGAGAAAACUAUGGCAGUGAAGCAAGUAACUUUUUCCUGCUUCCAUUUGCAGGUGUUUCCUCCCUGACCUCUUCACCACACAUGUCUGACUUCCAGAGCAAUUCAGGGUGAAUAGCAAAUCUUUUAUGUUUGAAAAACUGUCCUUUUGCUUUGGUUUCUUAAGGGAAGGACUGUACUGAAACCACAUGAAACAACUACUAAAGAUACUUUUCCUGGCUGAAAGACAAAGUUGCACAACAACAGCAGGGAAAGGUAACAGCAAAGUUAAGUAGAUAAAAGCAUCACAAGAUAAGGGCUUAGAAGACUUGCAGUGUUCUGACCUCUGCUGUCACAAAGUCUUUGAGUUUGUUCAAUCCCUGAUAGGAAAAGAGUCCAAAACCCACAGAAGAUGAACCAUGCAAAGGGGACUUUGCUUGUUCGCUCUGGAUUCAAACUGGGUCUGUACAGCUGCAUUGAAUCUCCAGUGGGAUGACACUGAUGAACACUUGACAAUGGCAAACAACACAAAGCCAAACUCACCAGUGCAGCUGAUAAGGUGAACAACACUGCUGACUGCAAUACCAUAUAAAUUCCAGCUACAGAUUACUAAACAGCUCUUUUCCCAGCAAACUGCAACUGUACAUGUAAAUUGUCCAAUUAAAAAACUCAAGUGCUUUAAUUUCCUGGAGCUCUUUACACAUCUUGGAGACAACGGGGAGAACUUCCUUAAAAGGGUAAGAAAAGCCACUGCUCUUCUGCAGCCAGAAGAGUUCUUACAAACAGAUUAUCCUUCUGUUCCUGGGCUGAUUGAAGGAAGAGCAUAAAAAAAAAAAAAAAAAAUUUUGGAAAAUCAUUCCCAGAGAUGAGAAGUUUUGCAAAGAUUUUUAUCAUCACUUCUAAAAGACAGUCAGUUGUAGAUGACAUUAAAGAAAUGUCCUAACUUUUGUAACAUUGUUGAUAAGAGGGGAUCACACAGGUAAACCAGCCCUCAGGACAUUUAGGGCUUUAGAAAUUUCAAUUGAAUUGUACUGAAGGCAAACUGAUAGAGCACAUUAAGGUAGAAGAUGUUGGCAACUUCAUCCAUCCUCAAUUGCAGUUCAUUUCAAGGAAGGGCACAGAUGUCCCUUCUGAGGUCACAGAUCAAGGUUCUCAUUUUAUGACUUUUUAUUAGACUUCCUAACACUCCAAAGACACCCAGACCACGAUCAAUCAUCUCCCCAAAGCCUUUAGAAUAAGGACAUUUUCUCCCAGUUCCAAUCUUUAUAGGCUGUACUGGGUAAUGGUUUAGAUGACUGCAGAAACAGCUAUGACAGACAAAUUUUGGUGGUUUUUUGUUUUGUUUUUUUGUUUUGUUUUUUCAUUUCAACUCUGCACAAGCAAUUUGGAGAGAGAAAGUCUAUGGAUUGCAUUCUUGUUAUUUUCUACUGUGCUGGGUGGCAAAAUGAUAACCUGAGGCAGACUGGCCUUACCAGGGUGGCAGCUGGUGUCAGAGUUCUAUAAUAACUAUUCCCCCCAGCACUGAAAAACAUUCAAGACAUUUCCCUUUUGUUUACAGCUCUUCCCAUAAAUGAUAUUAAUCUGAAGUAGAGCCUGUGAGGCAGAGCACUUCAGUGUAAACCUUCUGAGGGUGAUACCAGCAGCAGAGCUGCACACAGGCAGCCUUGUUAGGAAUUGUUUGCCUCUUUGCUUUUCAGUGCUUGAGCCACUUCCAGACUGUGUUCUUUAAAGAGCAUUUGCACACAGAGUCUGCACAAGGCAGAGAGUUCUUUGACUCUGCUGUUCUUCCCCAGGUUAUCCUUGUCCCAGGUUAGCACAAGGCUGAAUUUCCACAGGAGAUUUUGGCCCAUGGGCACACUCCUUUUGAAUUCAGUUCUAUUUGCUGCAAACUCUCCCAAUUUAUAUCAUCCCUUAUGCUAUGCUAAACACAUUAGUACUUUCCUUAAAAGCUGUUGUAUAAAUUAGGGUAUUACAGUUUUUGAUAUCAUGAUUUAAAAAGAUUCCUUUUCAUGAGAGAAGCAGCUGCAAUGAAUUACUUGUUACUCAAUAAAAUACACACAUUUAAAUCAACAAGAGCAUAGUGUUUUCAUGGGAAGUGCUUGUAUCAUCUCCACAUUAAAACAGCUGAGGGGUUUUAAUUCUACAGCAGCUUCACUUUCAGUGCAUGUACAUCUUGCAUGCUCAAUUAAAAAAAUAUUAUUCCAAGGUUCAAUUCCUGUAUUUGCACUCAUGAUUCAAUUAUUUGGCCAUUUUGUUGGAAAAAAAAAGAGAUCAAGAUGUACAUUUCUAUAUAACUGAAGAGCUAAUAAUGUUGUUUUAGCACAGCCCCACUGCCUAUCAGCAGGAUUUCAGUUCAGAGAUGUUCAAUGUCCAAAUCAGUCAAACUGGAUUUAAUUCAGACAUCUAACUCCCUCAGGCCUGGCUGGAAAAUGUCAGCCUAAAAUAGCUUGUGCCCGAGUAGAACAAACGAGAAAGGCACUUGUGAUGUAUGUAUUUAUAUGUCCAAAUGUCACAGAGUGCUGGAACUGACCCCUUCCUACAGAUCUGAACUGGCACACUCAGAGAGCUCCCAGGAGCUGCAGGAGUUCCUUCCACCUGCACAGCACCUCCCUAAAAUGAGGGAAGGAGCUCCUUUACUUCACCAGGUGGCGAGCAGUGAUCACAGGAAAGGUGAAAACAGCUGCCCCCGAGGUACCAGUUACAGGCUGGCCCAAAUGCCAAGGCUUUGCAAGCAAAUGAAGCACAGAAUUUACAAACUUUCAAAGAUCAGUUGUUACUUAUCUGCUGCCCUUAAACUCUCCUGGAAGGAAAAGCUGAUCUGAAAGGUGCUGAAAGGUUUGUUAAAAAAUGUACCUGAGGGAAAAAAAACAACUUUUAGCAUUAAAGAUUGCUACCUGAUAUUUAAUUAAUUCCUAA